GGCAGACGAGUUUCCGAAUCCAGCCGCCAAGUCCACCAAAGUCCUUGAUCCCGUUGGGGUGAUCCUGGCCCCACCCGUAUGCGAAGGAACCACACCCCGGCCAGAAAAGGAACGGAGGAUACAGAUUUACCGGGCGUCUCCUGGUACUAUGGGAGCGGGGGUAUGGGGGGCGGAGGAGGGCUGCAAGCCACGGACCUCCGGCGAAGGCUCGAGUCCACGAGGUGUUCGGGAACCACGACUCGUCGUCCCCAGAGUCCUCCUCGUUCCUUAAGGUGCGAUGCUUCCCGACCAUGCCACGGAUACACCACCAAUGACCAGGAAGAAAGAGUCGAGUUGCAAGCGACUCUCGCCUCCGGUCAACCCACGUGUACAGGUUGGCGGCCGUGCAGACGACAGGACGGGAGGAAGGAGGAUGGAGAAGGGAAAGGAGGGUGGAGGUGGUGGAACGGCGGAUCCGGCGUAAUCGGUUCCGCGCGCGGGGCGAGGAUCGUCGGCACGGAUCGUCAGGAUGGGAGGAAGGAAGGAAGGAGCGGGAAGAGGCAUCGGCUUCGAUGGCGUCGAGGGGAUUUACGGUGGAUCGCGGACGUGGCAACGAGGACCCUCCUCCUCGGUAUCGUGCUUUUCGUUACGCCAGGUCUGUGCAACCAGGACGCGGUGCACAUUACGGCAAUCCUUGGGGAGAGCGUUGUCUUCAACUGUCACGUAGAGUUCCCCGGUGAGCACCCAGUGCCCUACGUUCUCCAAUGGGAGAAGAAGGUAGGAGAUGCGGGGCAGGAGAUACCGAUAUACAUAUGGUACGACUCGUAUCCGACCCACAGUGGCGAGGGUUACGAAGGUCGAGUCUCGAGGGUGAGCCCGAACUCACCUUACGGCGGGGCGAGCCUCAACCUGACCGACAUCCGCGAGAGCGAUCAAGGAUGGUACGAGUGCAAGGUCGUCUUCCUCAACAGGUCGCCCAACAAGAACGGUACCUGGUUCCACCUGGACGUCCACGUUCCAAGAGUGUCGAGGGAGGAUAAAAACGAUUGGUUGGUUUUCGUAGCGCCGCCAAAAUUUAGCAUCACGCCGGAGGAGAUGAUCUACGUGAACGUGGGCGAUGCGAUAAUAUUGAACUGCCAGGCGGAGGGCACGCCGACACCCGAGAUUCUUUGGUACAAGGACGCGAAUCCGGUCGAGCCCUCGUCAACCAUAGGAAUAUUCAACGACGGCACCGAGCUCAGGAUCUCGACCAUCAAGAGCGAGGACAUCGGGGAUUACACGUGCAUCGCUCGAAACGGAGAGGGUCAAAUCAGUCACACGGCCCGCGUCAUAAUCGCUGGUGGAGCAGUGAUCACCGUGCCGCCGAUGAACCAAACCAAAUUGGAAGGGGAAAAGGUGCAAUUUAACUGCGAGGCUAAAGCUCUUCCCGGUAACGUGACCGUACGUUGGUUCCGCGAGGGUUCACCGGUUACGGAACUCUCGGAGCUGGACACGAGAGUGACGAUCAAAUCGGACGGUAGCCUGGUGAUCAAUCCCGUGAGCGCUGACGAUUCUGGCCAAUAUCUUUGCGAAGUGACGAACGGCAUCGGUGAUCCGCAAAGCGCUAACGCUUAUUUAAACGUGGAAUAUCCGGCAAAAGUGACGUUCACUCCCACGGUGCAAUAUCUACCGUUUCGGUUGGCUGGUGUGGUACAUUGUUACAUAAAAGCGAAUCCCACCCUUCAAUACGUGACGUGGACGAAGGACAAACGAUUGCUCGAACCUUAUCAAACGAAGGAUAUCGUUGUGAUGAACAAUGGCUCCCUGCUUUUUACACGAGUCAAUGAGAAUCAUCAGGGCCGGUAUACCUGCACGCCUUAUAACGCGCACGGCACGCAAGGAAGUUCCGGACCGAUGGAGGUGCUUGUACGAAAUCCGCCUGUGUUCACUCUCGAGCCGGAGCCGAUCUAUCAGAAAAAAGUGGGCGAAACGGUGGAGAUGCACUGCGACGCUCAAGAAGCGGAAGGCACGCAGAAACCCACGAUACAGUGGCACAGGAGGGAUGGCGCGUCCAUCCAACGAAAUCGGGCCAAGACCGUCGGCGGGAAUUUAACGAUCGAAAGCCUUCGCCGCUCGGAUUUCGGCUUCUACCAAUGCGUGGCGUCCAACGAGGUUGCCACCAUAUCGGCCUCCACACAAUUGAUCGUCGAAGGCACGCAACCCCACGCUCCGUACAACGUAACCGGUACCGCGACCGAGUUUUCGGUCACGUUGACUUGGCUGCCGGGAUACUCUGGAGGGCCUGAUUAUAAACAAGACUAUACCAUCUGGUACAGAGAAUCGGGUACGUCGGAAUGGAAGAUGAUUCCGGUAACUCCGUCGGGAAGCACAACGGUGACGAUCAACAGUCUGACACCAGGAACGCUGUACGAGUUCCAAGUGAUAGGGAAGAACGCUCUGGGCGAUGGAAUGUUGAGCAAACUCAUCACCAUCAGGACUCUUGACGUGGCACUGACGCAUUCAGCGACUCCAUCCUCGAGCGCCGGCCAAGCUGCAGCCACGGAUGAAAGCGACAUCUUAGAUCAUAAUACACUCAUAUUACCGACCGAUUCCACCGGCAAUCCAGUGUUCCCGCCAAUCAUGCGUCCGAAAGGACCAAAGCCAGGUCCUCCGAAAAAUCUGACGGUGACGGAGGUCAGUAACGGUUUCCUCAUUACCUGGGAGGCCCCUGUGGAGCGUAAUCAUCUGAUUCAAUAUUACACCAUCAAGUAUAAGACGGAUGGGCCGUGGAAAACGCUGAACAAGGGACAGAUCCGAGCCGAGGAGACCAGUUAUUUGGUGAAAAAUCUGGUCGGCGGUAGGACCUAUUAUUUCCAAGUGUUCGCGAAUUCGGCGACCAACUACGGUGCCAGCGAUCAGGUGAAAUUCGCAGUCCCGGCUCGGGUGAAGCACAAGGCGAUCACCGCGGGCGUCGUCGGUGGUAUUCUUUUCUUCAUUGUCGCGAUCAUCCUGAGCAUAUGCGCGGUGAAGAUUUGCAAUAAGCGGAAAAGACGAAAACAGGAGAAAGAACUGCUUUCAGCGUAUAGUAUGGUGGCCUGCCGGGUCACCGACGCCAGGAACGGCGCAGGGCAGGGGCCCCAGGGAACAGUGCCUUUGAAAAAACCUAGAAAAAGCCGAGUACCAGGUCUAAAUCUCCUUAGGGAGAUACUGAACCCGGGCACACCGGACUCGUGCCGCGGUCGACCACUGGGUAAGAUCUCGCGGGCGGCCGACGGCCGCUUNUCCGCCUCCACCCCGACGAGGGAGGAGAGGCCGCCCGUCCACCAGAUCCACCACACGGUUCAUCAUCAGACGCCGAGGUACAGCAGGGACAACAUCGAGGCCAGGGUGCAAGCGAUGAAGGCCGAGUUCCAUCAAUUUCGACAGCGGCAAGCGAGAAGAAGGCAGAGCGCUCAUCUCGAGAGCGCGUGUUGAGAGAGAGAGAGAGAGAGAGAGAGAGCACUGUUCCAAAUGACUCGUCGUCGCAUCAUCGAAUGGGCCGCUAUCCCGGCUGUGACGAAAAUUCGUAUUCGUUCGGAGACCAACCGUUAAAAAAAAGCACAACGAGGAUCAUCGUACGCGAUUCCAGUAUAGGCAACUUCAAGUCAAUUCUAUCAGCUGGGCAACCAUCUCUAUAAAAACAAAGAAAGAAAAGAAAAAAAAAUCGAAAAAAAAAAGAGAAAAAAAAAAAAGAGAAAAGAAAAGGCUGUUAA
rnacentral:misc_RNA from 1 species